ACUCCUACGGGAGGCAGCAGCAGGGAAUCUUCCACAAUGGGCGCAAGCCUGAUGGAGCAACACCGCGUGAGUGAAGAAGGGUUUCGGCUCGUAAAGCUCUGUUGUUAAAGAAGAACACGUAUGAGAGUAACUGUUCAUACGUUGACGGUAUUUAACCAGAAAGUCACGGCUAACUACGUGCCAGCAGCCGCGGUAAUACGUAGGUGGCAAGCGUUAUCCGGAUUUAUUGGGCGUAAAGAGAGUGCAGGCGGUUUUCUAAGUCUGAUGUGAAAGCCUUCGGCUUAACCGGAGAAGUGCAUCGGAAACUGGAUAACUUGAGUGCAGAAGAGGGUAGUGGAACUCCAUGUGUAGCGGUGGAAUGCGUAGAUAUAUGGAAGAACACCAGUGGCGAAGGCGGCUACCUGGUCUGCAACUGACGCUGAGACUCGAAAGCAUGGGUAGCGAACAGGAUUAGAUACCCUGGUAGGAUAGCG
rnacentral:rRNA from 1 species